rnacentral:sRNA from 1 species
GGCGCAAGUGAAAUACCACUA